GACGAAGGAUGCAAGCGUUAUCCGGAUUCAUUGGGUUUAAAGGGAGCGUAGGCGGCCUUAUAAGUCAGUGGUGAAAUCUUUGGGCUUAACCCAAAAAAUUGCCAUUGAUACUGUAGGGCUUGAGUACAGUUGCUGUGGGCGGAAUAUGACAUGUAGUGGUGAAAUACAUAGAGAUGUCAUAGAACACCGAUUGCGAAGGCAGCUCACAAAACUGUAACUGACGCUGAGGCUCGAAAGUGCGGGGAUCAAACAGG
rnacentral:rRNA from 1 species